CAGAAGAUGGGGAACUGCCUCAAAUCCCCCACUCAAAUGACAUCUCCUGCUUCACGAGUCUCAGUCCGACCGGGCUAGCUUUGGCGAGGGGACAGAGCCGAAUCAGGAGCCGCCGCUGCCAUAUCAGGAACAAGUGCCAGUUCCAGUCUAUCAUCCAACACCUAGUCAGACUCGCCUAGCAACCCAGCUGACUGAAGAGGAACAAAUUAGGAUAGCUCAAAGAAUAGGCCUUAUCCAGCAUCUGCCUAAGGGAGUUUAUGACCCUGGAAGAGAUGGAUCAGAGAAGAAGAUCCGGGAGUGUGUGAUCUGUAUGAUGGACUUUGUUUAUGGGGACCCAAUUCGAUUUCUGCCGUGCAUGCACAUCUAUCACCUGGACUGUAUAGAUGACUGGUUGAUGAGAUCCUUCACGUGCCCCUCCUGCAUGGAGCCAGUUGAUGCAGCACUGCUUUCAUCCUAUGAGACUAAUUGAGCCAGGGUCUCUCGUCUGACUUCAAGUGAACCAUCAUUUUUGGGUGGUUUUGAUCUUUUGUCGUUGAGCCCAAAGAGCCAGGGAUUAGGAAUUAAGAUCAUGCACAAAAGUUCCCUAAAAAUUCCUGGAUGGCUGCAGAUGUUGGGGGAAAGUAUGUGAUAUUUUAGAAACUUAGUGGGAAAAGUAGGAUGGUAUUUUUAUGUAAAGCCUUGACCCAGUGUUUAAAAAUAUAAUUGUAUUUAGAUCUUGUUAUUGCUCCAGUACAUAGGAAUUGUGUAAAGUGUUACAGCCGCUGUAUAUGUUUAAAUUGUGUGUGUUGAAGAUUAGGAAAAGAUAGUGGUUAUUUUUCCUAAAUGAAAUAACUUUUUUCUUCCCUUCACCCAAAUUCUUUUCUGAAGUUGCUGGCAUUUGGGUCAAGGUUUUAUUAAAAGAUACAUUUUAUAACACUGGCACAAAAAAAGUAGUUUUAAGCUUGUUUGCACAGUUCUUUUUUUCCAUUGGAAAUGGAAUUCAUUGCCUUAGGUCUUUUUAAAUGGUGUAUUAUUAUUGUUGGGGCUGGCUCUAUGCUUGAAAACCAGUUUAUUUAUAACCUGUAUAAGUGCUAUAUUCUGUUUGCAGUUAGGAAAUGCAAAAUUCAAAGUGAUCUCCUAGCUUGUAAGCAAACUGAGAUGCACUAUCCCUUUUCUAUAAAAAAUGAGUUAAUGUGUCAAGAAAUAAAUUCUAGUAAAUGGAGUUUAAA